AUUGAACGCUGGCGGCAGGCCUAACACAUGCAAGUCGAGCGGAUGAAGGGAGCUUGCUCCUGGAUUCAGCGGCGGACGGGUGAGUAAUGCCUAGGAAUCUGCCUGGUCGUGGGGGAUAACGUCCGUACACGGGCGCUAAUACCGCAUCCGUCCUGAGGGAGAAAGUGGUGGAUCUUCGGACCUCACGCUAUCAGAUGAGCCUAGGUCGGAUUAGCUAGCUGGUGGGGUAAAGGCCUACCAAGGCGACGAUCCGUAACUGGUCUGAGAGGAUGAUCAGUCACACUGGAACUGAGACACGGUCCAGACUCCUACGGGAGGCAGCAGUGGGGAAUAUUGGACAAUGGGCGAAAGCCUGAUCCAGCCAUGCCGCGUGUGUGAAGAAGGUCUUCGGAUUGUAAAGCACUUUAAGUUGGGAGGAAGGGAAGUAAGUUAAUACCUUGAUGUUUUGACGUUACCAACAGAAUAAGCACCGGCUAACUUCGUG
rnacentral:rRNA from 1 species